rnacentral:rRNA from 1 species
AGCGAACGCUGGCGGCAGGCCUACCACAUGCAAGUCGAGCGCCGUAGCAAUACGGAGCGGCAGACGGGAGAGUAACACGUGGGAACGUGCCCUUCAGUUCGGAACAACCCAGGGAAACUUGGGCUAAUACCGGAUACGUCCGUAAGGAGAAAGAUUUAUCGCUGAAGGAUCGGCCCGCGUCUGAUUAGCUAGUUGGUGGGGUAAUGGCCCACCAAGGCGACGAUCAGUAGCUGGUCUGAGAGGAUGAUCAGCCUCACUGGGACUGAGACACGGCCCAGACUCCUACGGGAGGCAGCAGUGGGGAAUAUUGGACAAUGGGCGCAAGCCUGAUCCAGCCAUGCCGCGUGGGUGAUGAAGGCCCUAGGGUUGUAAAGCCCUUUCGGCGGGGAAGAUAAUGGCGGUACCCGCAGAAGAAGCCCCGGCUAACUUCGUGCCAGCCGCCGCCGUAACAC